CAGGAGUGGUGGAACUGGCAGACACGCACGUUUGAGGGGCGUGUGGGGUAACCCAUGGGGGUUCGAGUCCCCCCUUCUGCAU
rnacentral:tRNA from 1 species